CUGCGGUAAUACGUAGGGGGCGAGCGUUAUUCGGAAUUACUGGGUGUAAAGGGUAUGUAGGCGGCCCUUCAAGUCGCGUGUCAAAGUCCAGUGCUCAACGCUGGAUGUGCGCGCGAUACUGACGGGCUUGAGGGCUGGAGAGGUGAGCGGAAUUCCCGGUGUAGUGGUAAAAUACGUAGAGAUCGGGAGGAACACCAGCGGCGCAGGCGGCUCACUAGACAGUUUCUGACGCUAAGAUACGAAAGCGUGGGGAGCAAACA
rnacentral:rRNA from 1 species